UACGGAGGGCGCAAGCGUUGUUCGGAAUUACUGGGCGUAAAGCGCAUGUAGGCGGCCUGGAAAGUCGGGUGUGAAAUCCCGGAGCUCAACUCCGGAACUGCAUCCGAUACUGCCAGGCUCGAGUCUCGGAGAGGAUGGCGGAAUUUCCGGUGUAGAGGUGAAAUUCGUAGAUAUCGGAAGGAACACCAGUGGCGAAGGCGGCCGUCUGGACGAUGACUGACGCUGAGAUGAGAAAGCGUGGGGAGCAAACAGG
rnacentral:rRNA from 1 species